CUGGAUUUGAAAUGGUAUUGACCCCAACCCUGGCAUGCUCUAUUUCUUUGGCAACUACCAGUAAAUUAUAUAUAUAUAAAAAACUAAAACAGUACUUAGAUUGGAUCUAGAACCAUUAUUAGCUUGUUGUUAUAUAUGGUGUGGACAUUGUGAGGAAUAAUCUAGGAUGAACUGCAAAUUAUCCUGUUUAGAUAUCCUGUCAUUCACUAUCAAUAUUUAUUCAAUAUUCAAUAUUUAUUAUUACUAAAACCAAUGGUGACGAAAUAACAGUACACACUCAAUCACACAUACAUGCAAGUAUUUAUAAAGAAGCAAGCAAAUUAGUUUUAACAAACAUAAAACAAAAAGCAAUACAUACAAAAGUGUAUACUAACCUAGAGAAAAGAGGUCACUAAUAUUGUGGGACGAGAAAAGAGGUCACUACUACUGUGGGAAGAGAAAGAGGUCACUACUACUGUGGGAAGAGAAAGAGGUCACUACUACUGUGGGAAGAGAAAAGAGGUCACUACUACUGUGGGAAGAGAAACGAGGUCACUACUACUGUGGGAAGAGAAACGAGGUCACUACUACAGUGGGAAGAGAAAGAGGUCACUACUACUGUGGGAAGAGAAAAGAGGUCACUACUACUGUGGGAAGAGAAAGAGGUCACUACUACUGUGGGAAGAGAAAGAGGUCACUACUACUGUGGGAAGAGAAAAGAGGUCACUACUACUGUGGGAAGAGAAAAGAGGUCACUACUACUGUGGGAAGAGAAA
ensembl:lncRNA